UAAAAAUAAAAAAUAAAAAAUGCAAAUACUAAAUAACUUUUCACCAUGGAGCAAAAAAAUCUUUAUAUGUUUCAUUAAGAACUUCUAGUGAACUCUGACUCUUUUAAAAGGGCCUUAGAACACCGACAGCUCUAGAUUAUCUUCUCAGUUGGAUUUUAAUACCUGUAUCUCCUUUAACAAAUUUAGGAAAGGACCUGUCACUACAUCUUACAAAGGAAGCAGUUUGAAUUCCAAAAAGAUUUGUCCUGGACCUUGCUGGGGUCAAGGGUGAGAAGACUUUCGAGCAGAACAUUCCCAGCAGCAAAAGCAAAUACAAAGGCCCAGAGAUCAAAACAAGAUUAGAAGAUUUACUAGCCAGAAGCAAAGCCACUGUAGUAAAACCCAGUGACCCUGGAGGAAAGAAGAGAGGGUCAAAAUGGAAAAAGUGGCCAAAGUAGGUGACAGACAUUAAGACAAGUGACUUAAUGACAAUGAUCAAGUGGAGAAGACAACACUGAUGAUACAGGAGAUGAAGGGUAAUACCACAGGUAAGCCUUCGAAGGGGCCAGAGGCCAUGCAAUUCAGGGCUGCAAUGUUUGUCUAAUACAGAUGCAGGAGGAGGCUUCUA
rnacentral:lncRNA from 1 species